GCUGAGGCGUCGCUAGAGGGCCAGGCCUUGGCAGUCGCUGCCCGAGAACCGGCGUUCCCAGGACCUGGGCGGGACAGAGCCAGUGGUGACCCACGGCAAAGAGGAGCGACGAGAUGAUCCGUCAGAAGUCCAGCCAAUUCCUAGGACUGAAGAUGCAGUCGGAGCUUGAACAGCCCUCCGAACUGCAGCGGGAACCCGAGAGGGAACUCACUUCAGUGGAUGAGUCCGUCAUGCGGAUAGCAACAGGUGUGCGGCCUGAGUCCGGCACCGCGGCCUCGGUAGAUGCGGAUGAAGAUCCUGCAGCCAACUUGUUCCCGCCGCCACUGCCCCGGCCCCGGAUCUGCAUGUGGAAAUACCUGGACAUCCAUUCCAUGCACAGGCUGGAGAAGACCACCAACACUGAGGAGAUGAGGGAGGUGCUAGCUGAGCUGUUGGGGCUAGGCUCUCCUGAGCAGAGCCUGCGGGAUGCCAUCAUCCUGGACCUUUUCUCCCAUGCACUCAUCUUCUGCCGCCAGCAGGGCUUCUCACUGGAACAGACAUCAACAGCUUGUGCUCUGCUCCAAGAUCUUCACAAGGCCUGUGUGGCAACCCCCUUGGGCAACGUGGAGGAAUGUUACCGCUACUUCACCAGUGUUCUUUUUUGCCAUGGACUCAGGGUCAGUUCCUCUGGAAUGGAAUCUUCAGUCUCCCCCCAGAUAAAGUCUAGCCCAGUCUCCUGCCCUCUCUCACACUCGUCACCCUCAUCUUUCUCUGAAGGCUGCAAGGGGCUCUCCCUGCUCCUGGACUGCCAGGCACUUGGAGAAAAGGUCAGGGUUCCUGGGGGUGGUCAGUCCCCUAACUCCCAAUCAUCCCCACAGCGGCCUCCCUUCAGUAUCAACCUCUUUAGGGAGGAACAGCUGCUUGCCCUGGCAGAUUAUGUGGUCAACACCUACUUCCGCCACUUCAAGCUCUACAAAUAUGUCUUCACACCCCAGGUGAGGCUGGACCUAUCUUUGACUUACAUAGGGCUACAGCCGCCUGAGCUCUGGCCAGAGGAUGAGACAGAGAAAGAAGGCGAGGAGGUGGGAGAGCAGGCAGUCACCCCACAGGAGGAGGAGCUGGAAACAGUGGUCCAGCCAGAGCAAGAGCCAAGUGAGGAGCUGGAAGGGUUAGGUUCCCCUGUGACUUGGAGCAAGUAUAAAAUGAAGGGGUUAGACCACAUCAGGACUUCAGGUCUGUUUUAGGCACAGUGUCCUUUCUCCAAAUGAUUCCUUAUGCAGAAAUUCAAGAUGACAAACCAGGCCAGGUCUCCAUCCUGCGAGCCUACAUCAAGACCCAGAUGAGCAAGGAGCUGGGGCAGCUCCAACAGCUGAUAGAGGAGCGGCUC